AUAAGAUGGUUUCUCUUGAGAUCCUAUAAAUCUUUCACCUUUUACUAAAGAUUUCCGUGGACAGGAACAAGCACGAAUGUCGUGGCUUUAUAUUUUUUGGCCACUUGCCGAGGCGAUCG
rnacentral:snRNA from 1 species